rnacentral:rRNA from 1 species
AGAGUUUGAUCCUGGCUCAGGACGAACGCUGGCGGCGUGCCUAAUACAUGCAAGUCGAACGAAGCUUUCUUUCACCGAAUGCUUGCAUUCACCGAAAGAAGCUUAGUGGCGAACGGGUGAGUAACACGUAGGCAACCUGCCCAAAAGAGGGGGAUAACACUUGGAAACAGGUGCUAAUACCGCAUAACCAUGAACACCGCAUGAUGUUCGUGUAAAAGACGGCUUUUGCUGUCACUUUUGGAUGGGCCUGCGGCGUAUUAACUUGUUGGUGGGGUAACGGCCUACCAAGGUGAUGAUACGUAGCCGAACUGAGAGGUUGAUCGGCCACAUUGGGACUGAGACACGGCCCAAACUCCUACGGGAGGCAGCAGUAGGGAAUCUUCCACAAUGGACGAAAGUCUGAUGGAGCAACGCCGCGUGAAUGAAGAAGGCCUUCGGGUCGUAAAAUUCUGUUGUCAGAGAAGAAUGUGCGUGAGAGUAACUGUUCACGUAUUGACGGUAUCUGACCGGAAAGCCACGGCUAACUACGUGCCAGCAGCCGCGGUAAUACGUAGGUGGCAAGCGUUGUCCGGAUUUAUUGGGCGUAAAGGGAACGCAGGCGGUCUUUUAAGUCUGAUGUGAAAGCCUUCGGCUUAACCGAAGUAGUGCAUUGGAAACUGGAAGACUUGAGUGCAGAAGAGGAGAGUGGAACUCCAUGUGUAGCGGUGAAAUGCGUAGAUAUAUGGAAGAACACCAGUGGCGAAAGCGGCUCUCUGGUCUGUAACUGACGCUGAGGUUCGAAAGCGUGGGUAGCAAACAGGAUUAGAUACCCUGGUAGUCCACGCCGUAAACGAUGAGUGCUAAGUGUUGGAGGGUUUCCGCCCUUCAGUGCUGCAGCUAACGCAUUAAGCACUCCGCCUGGGGAGUACGGUCGCAAGACUGAAACUCAAAGGAAUUGACGGGGGCCCGCACAAGCGGUGGAGCAUGUGGUUUAAUUCGAAGCAACGCGAAGAACCUUACCAGGUCUUGACAUCUUCUGACAAUUCCAGAGAUGGAACGUUCCCUUCGGGGACAGAAUGACAGGUGGUGCAUGGUUGUCGUCAGCUCGUGUCGUGAGAUGUUGGGUUAAGUCCCGCAACGAGCGCAACCCUUAUUGUCAGUUGCCAUCAUUAAGUUGGGCACUCUGGCGAGACUGCCGGUGACAAACCGGAGGAAGGUGGGGAUGACGUCAAAUCAUCAUGCCCCUUAUGACCUGGGCUACACACGUGCUACAAUGGACGGUACAACGAGUCGCUAACUCGCGAGGGCAAGCUAAUCUCUUAAAGCCGUUCUCAGUUCGGAUUGCAGGCUGCAACUCGCCUGCAUGAAGUCGGAAUCGCUAGUAAUCGCGAAUCAGCAUGUCGCGGUGAAUACGUUCCCGGGCCUUGUACACACCGCCCGUCACACCAUGAGAGUUUGUAACACCCAAAGUCGGUGGGGUAACCUUUUGGAGCCAGCCGCCUAAGGUGGGACAGAUGAUUGGGGUGAAGUCGGAACAAGGUA